rnacentral:rRNA from 1 species
GCGAACGCUGGCGGCAGGCCUAAUACAUGCAAGUCGAGCGGCCCUUCGGGGCAGCGGCGGACGGGUGAGUAACGCGUGGGAACGUGCCCUUUGGUACGGAACAACUGAGGGAAACUUCAGCUAAUACCGUAUGUGCCCUUCGGGGGAAAGAUUUAUCGCCAUUGGAGCGGCCCGCGUUAGAUUAGCUAGUUGGUAGGGUAAUGGCCUACCAAGGCGACGAUCUAUAGCUGGUCUGAGAGGAUGAUCAGCCACACUGGGACUGAGACACGGCCCAGACUCCUACGGGAGGCAGCAGUAGGGAAUCUUGCGCAAUGGGCGAAAGCCUGACGCAGCCAUGCCGCGUGAAUGAUGAAGGUCUUAGGAUUGUAAAAUUCUUUCACUGGGGACGAUAAUGACGGUACCCGGAGAAGAAGCCCCGGCUAACUUCGUGCCAGCCGCCGCGGUAACAC